rnacentral:misc_RNA from 1 species
CGCACCUUGCGCCCUUUGGUAUUCCGAAGGGCAUGCCUGUUUGAGUGUCAUUAAAUUAUCAACCUUUCAGCUUUUGCUGUCAGGCUUGGAUGUGAGGGCUUUGCUGGCUUCCUUCAGUGGAUGGUCUGCUCCCUUUAAACGCAUUAGUGGGAUCUCUUGUGGACCGUCACUUGGUGUGAUAAUUAUCUACGCCGCUUGACUUUGAAGCAAAUCUUAUGGGAACCUGCUUACAACCGUCCUUUGGACAACUCUAUCUUAAUUUGACCUCAAAUCAGGUAGGACUACCCGCUGAACUUAA